UACGAAGGGGGCUAGCGUUGUUCGGAAUUACUGGGCGUAAAGCGCGCGUAGGCGGACUGACAAGUCGGGGGGUGAAAUCCCGAGGCUCAACCUCGGAACUGCCUUCGAUACUGUCAGUCUUGAGGUCGGGAGAGGUGAGUGGAACUCCGAGUGUAGAGGUGAAAUUCGUAGAUAUUCGGAAGAACACCAGUGGCGAAGGCGGCUCACUGGCCCGAUUCUGACGCUGAGGCGCGAAAAGCGUGGGGAGCAAACAGGG
rnacentral:rRNA from 1 species